rnacentral:rRNA from 1 species
GUGAGGAAUAUUGGUCAAUGGGCGGGAGCCUGAACCAGCCAAGUCGCGUGAAGGAAGAAGGAUCUAUGGUUCGUAAACUUCUUUUGCAGGGGAAUAAAGUGCAGGACGUGUCCUGUUUUGUAUGUACCCUGAGAAUAAGGAUCGGCUAACUCCGUGCCAGCAGCCGCGGUAAUACGGAGGAUCCGAGCGUUAUCCGGAUUUAUUGGGUUUAAAGGGUGCGUAGGUAGUUUGAUAAGUCAGCGGUGAAAGUUUGCAGCUUAACUGUAAAAAUGCCGUUGAAACUGUCUGACUUGAGUGUAAAUGAGGUAGGCGGAAUGCGUGGUGUAGCGGUGAAAUGCAUAGAUAUCACGCAGAACUCCGAUUGCGAAGGCAGCUUACUAAGCUACAACUGACACUGAAGCACGAAAGCGUGGGGAUCAAACAGGAUUAGAUACCCGGGUAGUCC